rfam:Clostridia bacterium BRH_c25 BRHa_1003330, whole genome shotgun sequence.
UGUCAAUGGCUCUUAGCAAGGUCACCUUAAAAACAACCGUAUGCGAGGCACGGAUGCCGAAGCAAGCUUUCACGGUCACGGAUGACCAUUGAAAGCGUUAGGUUUUUUUUAGGCGACCUUGCUUAGUGCCAUCAAUU